rnacentral:rRNA from 1 species
GGNGCUCUCCCNUAUGGUCGACCUGCAGGCGGCCGCGAAUUCACUAGUGAUUAAGAGUUUGAUCCUGGCUCAGAUUGAACGCUGGCGGCAGGCCUAACACAUGCAAGUCGAACGGUAACAGGAAGCAGCUUGCUGCUUUGCUGACGAGUGGCGGACGGGUGAGUAAUGUCUGGGAAACUGCCCGAUGGAGGGGGAUAACUACUGGAAACGGUAGCUAAUACCGCAUAACGUCGCAAGACCAAAGAGGGGGACCUUCGGGCCUCUUGCCAUCGGAUGUGCCCAGAUGGGAUUAGCUAGUAGGUGGGGUAAAGGCUCACCUAGGCGACGAUCCCUAGCUGGUCUGAGAGGAUGACCAGCCACACUGGAACUGAGACACGGUCCAGACUCCUACGGGAGGCAGCAGUGGGGAAUAUUGCACAAUGGGCGCAAGCCUGAUGCAGCCAUGCCGCGUGUAUGAAGAAGGCCUUCGGGUUGUAAAGUACUUUCAGCGGGGAGGAAGGGAGUAAAGUUAAUACCUUUGCUCAUUGACGUUACCCGCAGAAGAAGCGCCGGCUAACUCCGUGCCAGCAGCCGCGGUAAUACGGAGGGUGCAAGCGUUAAUCGGAAUUACUGGGCGUAAAGCGCACGCAGGCGGUUUGUUAAGUCANAUGUNAAAUCCCCGGGCUCAACCUGGGAACUGCAUCUGAUACUGGCAAGCUUGAGUCUCNNANAGGGGGGGNUAGAAUUCCAGGUGUANCNGGUGAAAUGCGUANAGAUCUGGANGAAUACCNGGUGGNCGAANGCGGCCCCCUGGACNANACUGACGCUCA